GUGGGCUGGACUUUCUUCGGGCAUAUUAUGAUGCAAACAAGGAAAUAAGGAAGUGCUGGUGGAGUGGAUGUGGAUGAGAGCUGCCCGGUAUCACCAUCUGAUUCACCAAGGGCAUCAUAUACUGGUGACGGGGCCAGAAGGCCUAUAAAAGCUCUCCCUCCCAGCGCCUCCUUAUCCACUUGACUCCACAUCCACUCCCUCCUGUUCGCUUGACAGGCAUUUCUGAGUUGAAGAACCAUGUCUUACCCCAACCAGCAGCAAUGCAAGCAGGUUGUGUGUCCUCCACCAUUGAUUCCUCCCCAGAAAUGUACUCCACCGCAGUGUCCUCUACCAAAGUGCCCUCCAUCAAAGUGCCCUCCACCCCAGUGGCCUGACCAGAAGUGCCCUCCACCCCAGUGUCCUGACCAGAAGUGCCCUCCAUCGAAGUGCCCUCCACCGCAGUGGCCUGACCAGAAGUGCCCUCCACCCCAGUGUCCUGACCAGAAGUGCCCUCCAUCGAAGUGCCCUCCACCGCAGUGGCCUGACCAGAAGUGCCCUCCACCGCAGUGUCCUCAGCAACAGUGACCUCCACAGAAGUGAUGGCUGAUGCCCCAACCCACCGCGGCAACAUCAACAUCUGGGAAAGCAAGAGCAAGUCAGCAAGUCCCUGAAUGCAGUUUCUUUCACAUCCCUUGCUCUUCUCCCCUUGUUUCCCAGGCUGUUCCUGCAACCAUUUCCAAGCUCUGCUCUUGUACCCAGCAACGAUCCUGUUCUAAGUGGUGCCUUGAAUCUGUGCCGGUGCCAACUGACUUUGCGAUUCAGUCUCCUGGCAUUUUCUUUCUGGUAAGAAGCUGGAUACGGAGAUACAGGACCAGUCUUUAAAUUAUUUUCCAGUGUUUCCCUCCUAUCUUACAUUGUGAGCUUCGUCCAAUAAAAGUUUUCCUUCAUGGCA